UACCAGCACCCCGAGUGGUCGGGACGUUUAUUGGGCCUAAAGCAUCCGUAGCCGGUUCUGCAAGUCUUCCGUUAAAUCCACCUGCUUAACAGAUGGGCUGCGGAAGAUACUAUAGAGCUAGGAGGCGGGAGAGGCAAGCGGUACUCGAAUGGGUAGGGGUAAAAUCCGUUGAUCCAUUGAAGACCACCAGUGGCGAAGGCGGCUUGCCAGAACGCGCUCGACGGUGAGGGAUGAAAGCUGGGGG
rnacentral:rRNA from 1 species